rnacentral:misc_RNA from 1 species
CGUAUUCUUUUUAGGCCGGUUCUUUUUUUUGGAUCUGGUUCUAAUUCAACCCCUGUUUUUUGCGUACCUUUUUGUUUCCUCGGUGGGCUUGCCUGCCGGUUGGACAAAAUUUUAAACUCUUUUUAUGUUAGCAAUCAGCGUCAAAACUUUACAUAAAUUGUAA